rnacentral:rRNA from 1 species
UACGUAGGGUGCGAGCGUUAAUCGGAAUUACUGGGCGUAAAGCGUGCGCAGGCGGUGAUGUAAGACAGAUGUGAAAUCCCCGGGCUCAACCUGGGACCUGCAUUUGUGACUGCAUCGCUGGAGUGCGGCAGAGGGGGAUGGAAUUCCGCGUGUAGCAGUGAAAUGCGUAGAUAUCAGGAGGAACACCGAUGGCGAAGGCAGGUCUCUGGGCUGACACUGACGCUCAUGCACGAAAGCGUGGGGAGCAAACAGG